rnacentral:rRNA from 1 species
AUAGGAGACAAGAAGGCAUCUUCUUGUUUUUAAAAGACCUAGCAAUAGGUAUGCUUAGGGAGGAGCUUGCGUCACAUUAGUUAGUUGGUGGGGUAAAGGCCUACCAAGACUAUGAUGUGUAGCCGGGCUGAGAGGUUGAACGGCCACAUUGGGACUGAGACACGGCCCAAACUCCUACGGGAGGCAGCAGUAGGGAAUUUUCGGCAAUGGAGGAAACUCUGACCGAGCAACGCCGCGUGAACGAUGAAGUAUUUCGGUACGUAAAGUUCUUUUAUUAGGGAAGAAUAAAUGAUGGAAAAAUCAUUCUGACGGUACCUAAUGAAUAAGCCCCGGCUAACUAUGUGCCAGCAGCCGCGGUAAUACAUAGGGGGCAAGCGUUAUCCGGAAUUAUUGGGCGUAAAGGGUGCGUAGGCGGUUAAAUAAGUUUAUGGUCUAAGUGCAAUGCUCAACAUUGUGAUGCUAUAAAAACUGUUUAGCUAGAGUAAGAUAGAGGCAAGUGGAAUUCCAUGUGUAGUGGUAAAAUGCGUAAAUAUAUGGAGGAACACCAGUAGCGAAGGCGGCUUGCUGGGUCUUUACUGACGCUGAGGCACGAAAGCGUGGGGAGCAAACAGGAUUAGAUACCCUGGUAGUCCACGCCGUAAACGAUGAGUACUAAACGUUGGGUAAAACCAGUGUUGAAGUUAACACAUUAAGUACUCCGCCUGAGUAGUACGUACGCAAGUAUGAAACUUAAAGGAAUUGACGGGACUCCGCACAAGCGGUGGAUCAUGUUGUUUAAUUCGAAGGUACCCGAAAAACCUCACCAGGUCUUGACAUGCUUCUGCAGAGCUGUAGAAACACAGUGGAGGUUAUCAGUUGCACAGGUGGUGCAUGGUUGUCGUCAGCUCGUGUCGUGAGAUGUUGGGUUAAGUCCCGCAACGAGCGCAACCCUUAUUGUUAGUUACCAGCACGUAAUGGUGGGGACUUUAGCAAGACUGCCAGUGAUAAAUUGGAGGAAGGUGGGGACGACGUCAAAUCAUCAUGCCCCUUAUGACCUGGGCUACAAACGUGAUACAAUGGCUGUUACAAAGGGUAGCUGAAGCGCAAGUUUUUGGCGAAUCUCAAAAAAACAGUCUCAGUUCGGAUUGAAGUCUGCAACUCGACUUCAUGAAGUUGGAAUCGCUAGUAAUCGCGAAUCAGCAUGUCGCGGUGAAUACGUUCG